rnacentral:rRNA from 1 species
UCCUAGUGAUUAGAGUUUGAUCAUGGCUCAGAACGUACGCUGGCGGCACGCCUAACACAUGCAAGUCGAACGAAGUAGCAAUACUUAGUGGCAGACGGGUGAGUAACAUGUAGGUAUCUACCCUUUGGCCUGGAAUAACACGAGGAAACUUGUGCUAAUACCGGAUAAGUCUUUACGGAGAAAGCUUUAUGCACCAUUGGAUGAGCCUGCACUUGAUUAGUUUGUUGGUAGGGUAAUGGCCUACCAAGACUUUGAUCAAUAGCUGAUUUGAGAGGAUGAUCAGCCACAUUGGGACUGAGACACGGCCCAAACUCCUACGGGAGGCAGCAGUGGGGAAUCUUGCACAAUGGAGGAAACUCUGAUGCAGCGAUGCCGCGUGAGUGAAGAAGGCCUUUGGGUUGUAAAGCUCUUUCGUCGGGGAAGAAAAUGACUGUACCCGAAUAAGAAGGUCCGGCUAACUUCGUGCCAGCAGCCGCGGUAAUACGAAGGGACCUAGCGUAGUUCGGAAUUACUGGGCUUAAAGAGUUCGUAGGUGGUUGAAAAAGUUGGUGGUGAAAUCCCAGAGCUUAACUCUGGAACUGCCAUCAAAACUUUUUAGCUAGAGUUUGAUAGAGGAAAGCAGAAUUUCUAGUGUAGAGGUGAAAUUCGUAGAUAUUAGAAAGAAUACCAAUUGCGAAGGCAGCUUUCUGGAUCAUUACUGACACUGAGGAACGAAAGCAUGGGUAGCGAAGAGGAUUAGAUACCCUCGUAGUCCAUGCCGUAAACGAUGUGUGUUAGACGUUGGAAAUUUAUUUUCAGUGUCACAGCGAAAGCAAUAAACACACCGCCUGGGGAGUACGACCGCAAGGUUAAAACUCAAAUGAAUUGACGGGGACCCGCACAAGUAGUGGAGCAUGUGGUUUAAUUCGAAGAUACGCGCAGAACCUUACCAACACUUGACAUGUUCGUCGCGACUUUAAGAGAUUAAAGUUUUCGGUUCGGCCGGACGAAACACAGGUGCUGCAUGGCUGUCGUCAGCUCGUGUCGUGAGAUGUUGGGUUAAGUCCCGCAACGAGCGCAACCCUCACUUUUAGUUGCCAUCAUUUAGUUGGGCACUCUGAAAGAACUGCCAGUGAUAAGCUGGAGGAAGGUGGGGAUGACGUCAAGUCCUCAUGGCCCUUACGUGUUGGGCUACACACGUGCUACAAUGGCAUUUACAACAGGAAGCAAAACGGCGACGUUAAGCAAAUCCUAAAAAAAUGCCUCAGUUCGGAUUGUACUCUGCAACUCGAGUACAUGAAGCUGGAAUUACUAGUAAUCGCGGAUCAGCGCGCCGCGGUGAAUACGUCCCCGGGUCUUGUAGACACCGCC